GAGCUACUCCAAGACAGCCUCUAAGGGCGCACCCGUCUCUGUGGCAAAAGAGUGGGAAGAUCUUUGAGUAGAGGUGACAGACCUACCGAACUUGGUUAUAGCUGGUUGCUCAGGAAAUGAAUAGGAGUUCAGCCUUUUGCCCUCUCACUACACACAGCGGCUACACUUUCAAAGCACUAGAGCCGGGCAAAGGAGUUAGUCAAAGGGGGUACAGCCCCUUUGAAGAAAGAUACAACUUUACCAGGAGGGUUUAGAUCACAACAACUAUUAAGGGAAUGUGUCCUAGUUGGCCUAAGAGCAGCCACCCACACAGAAAGCGUUAAAGCUCAGACACUUUUCUACCCCUACUAUCCUGACCACAUAAUCUCACCCCCCUAACCAUACUGAGCCUUCCCAUACCCCUAUGGGAGCGAUCAUGCUAAUAUGAGUAAUAAGAGACCUAGAAUCUCUCCCUGCACAAGCGUAAAUCGGAACGAACUAACACCGAGAAUUAACGGCCCCAAAAAAGAGGGAACUGAAAUAUUAUGGCCAAGCCACUAGGAGACCAUCCACUCCACCACCGUUAACCUUACACCAGAGUGCAAACAAGGAAAGACUAAAGAAAA
rnacentral:rRNA from 1 species